rnacentral:rRNA from 1 species
UGGGGAAUAUUGCACAAUGGGCGCAAGCCUGAUGCAGCCAUGCCGCGUGUAUGAUGAAGGCCUUCGGGUUGUAAAGUACUUUCAGCGGGGAGGAAGGGAGUAAAGUUAAUACCUUUGCUCAUUGACGUUACCCGCAGAAGAAGCACCGGCUAACUCCGUGCCAGCAGCCGCGGUAAUACGGAGGGUGCAAGCGUUAAUCGGAAUUACUGGGCGUAAAGCGCACGCAGGCGGUUUGUUAAGUCAGAUGUGAAAUCCCCGGGCUCAACCUGGGAACUGCAUCUGAUACUGGAAAGCUUGAGUCUCGUAGAGGGGGGUAGAAUUCCAGGUGUAGAGGUGAAAUGCGUAGAGAUCUGGAGGAAUACCAGUGGCGAAGGCGGCCCCCUGGACGAAGACUGACGCUCAGGUGCGAAAGCGUGGGGAGCAAACAGG